rnacentral:rRNA from 1 species
UGUAGGAUAGGUGGGAGGCUUUGAAGUGUGGACGCCAGUCUGCAUGGAGCCGACCUUGAAAUACCACCCUUUAAUGUUUGAUGUUCUAACGUGGACCCGUGAUCCGGGUUGCGGACAGUGUCUGGUGGGUAGUUUGACUGGGGCGGUCUCCUCCUAAAGAGUAACGGAGGAGCACGAAGGUUGGCUAAUCCUGGUCGGACAUCAGGAGGUUAGUGCAAUGGCAUAAGCCAGCUUGACUGCGAGCGUGACGGCGCGAGCAGGUGCGAAAGCAGGUCAUAGUGAUCCGGUGGUUCUGAAUGGAAGGGCCAUCGCUCAACGGAUAAAAGGUACUCCGGGGAUAACAGGCUGAUACCGCCCAAGAGUUCAUAUCGACGGCGGUGUUUGGCACCUCGAUGUCGGCUCAUCACAUCCUGGGGCUGAAGUAGGUCCCAAGGGUAUGGCUGUUCGCCAUUUAAAGUGGUACGCGAGCUGGGUUUAGAACGUCGUGAGACAGUUCGGUCCCUAUCUGCCGUGGGCGCUGGAGAACUGAGGGGGGCUGCUCCUAGUACGAGAGGACCGGAGUGGACGCAUCACUGGUGUUCGGGUUGUCAUGCCAAUGGCACUGCCCGGUAGCUAAAUGCGGAAGAGAUAAGUGCUGAAAGCAUCUAAGCACGAAACUUGCCCCGAGAUGAGUUCUCCCUGACCCUUUAAGGGUCCUGAAGGAACGUUGAAGACGACGACGUUGAUAGGCCGGGUGUGUAAGCGCAGCGAUGCGUUGAGCUAACCGGUACUAAUGAACCGUGAGGCUUAACCUUACAACGCCGAAG